GAUAUAAUCGGAAGAUAUAUUAGAUUCCGAUUCUGAAGGCCGGGGGUUCGAAUCCCUCCGGGCGGGCCA
rnacentral:tRNA from 1 species